CUCACAUGCAUUAUAUGCGUGCAUCCUGCUUGCUAUACAAAGAUCAUGCAAAUGUGGUAUUUAAAAGAAUAUAUUUGCAGAAUUGUAGUUUUUAAACGAAAAUGGCAUCGUUUUGUUUAGAAUGCAUUUCUCCUCUCACCCCCAGCCUGCCCAAGUGCUUCAGUCCGGUGCGUUACAAUAAGCGCUGUUUAAAAUGCGUCUGAAGAAGCAGCAAAAUGGAAGACUGCCCUCUAACGUCAACAGAGCCACCGGAGGGGCUGAAAUGCAGCGAAGGGAUGUGGAGGAGGAUUGAAAUGGGCCUCAACUUCUGCAGAAAACCCUUCAGAAUGCCAAACAGAGCUCAUUGUGUUACUACGUGGGUGUUUGAAAAGGUGGGAUCCCUGAGAAGGUAGGCUCCAAAUACCAAAUAUUUUCUAUUGUGGUGCCAGCUUUUUCAAUGCACAGAUCAAAGUAAAUGCCUGUUGGAUCUGAUACAGCUUCCUACUUCACCAAGUUUACCCUAAGAACAUUAUUUAAAAAACAAUACUAACCAGCAUUUGAAUUAAUACAUGCCAGUGAAUGAUUACUAAAGACAAGGCAUGAAUCACAGUUGGAACUCCAGCUCUCUUUACAUCCACAUCAUCAUUUCUGCCUUCUUGAGAGCUGUCUGCUCCCAUGUUUCUGAGUUGGUUUUGUGUUGCUGGCUGAUGGGGGUGAGGACCAAUGCUGGUCCUUAACCUGGGACCAUGGCUACCAAACCAUGCAGGGGUAUUUGGGGAACUGACAUAAAACGUGUUUCCCUCUGCACUCCUGGCUGCGGUGCUUAAUUUUCUGAUCAUUCAUCCAACUCGUAGGAAUAUUCACAGGGAAAGAUCACCAAGGUGGAUGCAAAUUCAGACAUGAUUGAAACAUCAAUCACUGACUCACGGAAAAAAAUAUUUACAGUGUUUUGUAAGUUGAGAAAGGAAUAAUUUAAUGAAUCGUGCAUCCUAAGGGGGUUUUGCGGGGAAAUUUGAUGCCAAACAUUUGCACUCUAUGCAAAAACUGUGCGCUCGUCAAGAACUGAAAAAGGCCAGAAAUGAAACAAAGUCCCAAAGUGGUUUCAGAGAGGCUAACCAGAAACCUUUGUUUUUCCAUUGGAAAGUCCAGAUCAUAAAAUGUGAAGUGAUCUGAGAAGAAUUAAUCAAUCUCAAUGCGGUCAUAAGGGAGAAGCCAACCUGUCAGGCCCCCCUUUGCUCCCUUGUGUUAGGGAUCCAUGCUGACCACCCAUCUGAGCCCCCAUGUUGGCGUGGAACCCUCUAUGCAACAAGGAACUGAACUUCAGAUACCCAUCCUAUGCAUCUUUCUUUUGUUUUGCCACUUAACAGUACUUUUUAGGUUCAAAAUUCAUUGCACUGAAGUUUCUGGUCAUCCAUAAAAGAGAAGAGCAGCCAAGCAAGCUGAAAGCUAAUGACUGUGAUUUAUAGGCAGGUUGUCCCAGUGUAACGACGCACACAAGUUCCUGUGUCUAAAAGAUUGGUGCACUUAUUUAAGUUAAUAAAAGUAUUUAUUCUUUUUAUUUCA
rnacentral:lncRNA from 1 species